UUAAGCGACUAAGCGUACACGGUGGAUGCCCUGGCAGUCAGAGGCGAUGAAGGACGUGCUAAUCUGCGAUAAGCGUCGGUAAGGUGAUAUGAACCGUUAUAACCGGCGAUUUCCGAAUGGGGAAACCCAGUGUGAUUCGUCACACUAUCAUUAACUGAAUCCAUAGGUUAAUGAGGCGAACCGGGGGAACUGAAACAUCUAAGUACCCCGAGGAAAAGAAAUCAACCGAGAUUCCCCCAGUAGCGGCGAGCGAACGGGGAGCAGCCCAGAGCCUGAAUCAGUGUGUGUGUUAGUGGAAGCGUCUGGAAAGGCGCGCGAUACAGGGUGACAGCCCCGUACACAAAAAUGCACAUGCUGUGAGCUCGAUGAGUAGGGCGGGACACGUGGUAUCCUGUCUGAAUAUGGGGGGACCAUCCUCCAAGGCUAAAUACUCCUGACUGACCGAUAGUGAACCAGUACCGUGAGGGAAAGGCGAAAAGAACCCCGGCGAGGGGAGUGAAAAAGAACCUGAAACCGUGUACGUACAAGCAGUGGGAGCACGCUUAGGCGUGUGACUGCGUACCUUUUGUAUAAUGGGUCAGCGACUUAUAUUCUGUAGCAAGGUUAACCGAAUAGGGGAGCCGAAGGGAAACCGAGUCUUAACUGGGCGUUAAGUUGCAGGGUAUAGACCCGAAACCCGGUGAUCUAGCCAUGGGCAGGUUGAAGGUUGGGUAACACUAACUGGAGGACCGAACCGACUAAUGUUGAAAAAUUAGCGGAUGACUUGUGGCUGGGGGUGAAAGGCCAAUCAAACCGGGAGAUAGCUGGUUCUCCCCGAAAGCUAUUUAGGUAGCGCCUCGUGAAUUCAUCUCCGGGGGUAGAGCACUGUUUCGGCAAGGGGGUCAUCCCGACUUACCAACCCGAUGCAAACUGCGAAUACCGGAGAAUGUUAUCACGGGAGACACACGGCGGGUGCUAACGUCCGUCGUGAAGAGGGAAACAACCCAGACCGCCAGCUAAGGUCCCAAAGUCAUGGUUAAGUGGGAAACGAUGUGGGAAGGCCCAGACAGCCAGGAUGUUGGCUUAGAAGCAGCCAUCAUUUAAAGAAAGCGUAAUAGCUCACUGGUCGAGUCGGCCUGCGCGGAAGAUGUAACGGGGCUAAACCAUGCACCGAAGCUGCGGCAGCGACGCUUAUGCGUUGUUGGGUAGGGGAGCGUUCUGUAAGCCUGUGAAGGUGUGCUGUGAGGCAUGCUGGAGGUAUCAGAAGUGCGAAUGCUGACAUAAGUAACGAUAAAGCGGGUGAAAAGCCCGCUCGCCGGAAGACCAAGGGUUCCUGUCCAACGUUAAUCGGGGCAGGGUGAGUCGACCCCUAAGGCGAGGCCGAAAGGCGUAGUCGAUGGGAAACAGGUUAAUAUUCCUGUACUUGGUGUUACUGCGAAGGGGGGACGGAGAAGGCUAUGUUGGCCGGGCGACGGUUGUCCCGGUUUAAGCGUGUAGGCUGGUUUUCCAGGCAAAUCCGGAAAAUCAAGGCUGAGGCGUGAUGACGAGGCACUACGGUGCUGAAGCAACAAAUGCCCUGCUUCCAGGAAAAGCCUCUAAGCAUCAGGUAACAUCAAAUCGUACCCCAAACCGACACAGGUGGUCAGGUAGAGAAUACCAAGGCGCUUGAGAGAACUCGGGUGAAGGAACUAGGCAAAAUGGUGCCGUAACUUCGGGAGAAGGCACGCUGAUAUGUAGGUGAAGUCCCUCGCGGAUGGAGCUGAAAUCAGUCGAAGAUACCAGCUGGCUGCAACUGUUUAUUAAAAACACAGCACUGUGCAAACACGAAAGUGGACGUAUACGGUGUGACGCCUGCCCGGUGCCGGAAGGUUAAUUGAUGGGGUCAGCGCAAGCGAAGCUCUUGAUCGAAGCCCCGGUAAACGGCGGCCGUAACUAUAACGGUCCUAAGGUAGCGAAAUUCCUUGUCGGGUAAGUUCCGACCUG
rnacentral:rRNA from 1 species